ACUCGCCUACACGAAGCUGGAAGUCGCUAGUAAUCGCGGAUCAGCACGCGCGGUGAAUACGUUCCCGGGCCUUGUACACACCGCCCGUCACACCAUGAGAGUCUGUAACACCCAAAGCCGGUGGGAUAACCUUUAUAGGAGUCAGCCGUCUAAGGUAGGACAGAUGAUUAGGGUGAAGUCGUAACAAGGUAUC
rnacentral:rRNA from 1 species